UGGGGAAUAUUGCACAAUGGGCGCAAGCCUGAUGCAGCCAUGCCGCGUGUGUGAAGAAGGCCUUCGGGUUGUAAAGCACUUUCAGCGAGGAGGAAGGGUAGUGUGUUAAUAGCACAUUGCAUUGACGUUACUCGCAGAAGAAGCACCGGCUAACUCCGUGCCCGCAGCCGCGGUAAUACGGAGGGUGCAAGCGUUAAUCGGAAUUACUGGGCGUAAAGCGCACGCAGGCGGUUUGUUAAGUCAGAUGUGAAAUCCCCGCGCUUAACGUGGGAACUGCAUUUGAAACUGGCAAGCUAGAGUCUUGUAGAGGGGGGUAGAAUUCCAGGUGUAGCGGUGAAAUGCGUAGAGAUCUGGAGGAAUACCGGUGGCGAAGGCGGCCCCCUGGACAAAGACUGACGCUCAGGUGCGAAGGCGUGGGGAGCAAACA
rnacentral:rRNA from 1 species